rnacentral:tRNA from 1 species
AAAUAAGAAGCAAAAUUUGCAAUUAGUUUCGACCUAAUCUUAGAUAUUAUAUAUCCUUAUUUU